rnacentral:lncRNA from 1 species
AUCUUUAAAAUUUGAUAAAACCCAAUGUGAUGUUUUUCUUCUUCCGUAGAGCAUGCUGUGGGCGUCCACGUUUGCGCCGUGCAUGUGGUGUGUGGCCCACCGGCAGCUGCUUCAGCAAAGCUGGUCGCCUGGAUGCCGCACGGCUCGAAGUCUGACCGUUCGCACGGCCCGUUCCGCUCGCUGGUCCCCGGGCCUGUCCUCUGCCCGCGUGCACUGUACCCAGCACGGCAGACACGUAGCUCAGCGCAGCGUUUGCGGCUCUUCCGUGAGGAUUGAGGCUCUGCUGGGGGCUGACAGCGGUGUGGACGGUGACCGGCAGAAGUUGCAGCUGUGACCGGGGCUUGCAAAGGUAAGGAGUGUCCUCUUCUCUCUACAGUUUGAUUUGGCACCACAUCCUGCUUAAUCUACUGACACUUGUUGUCACGGGUCAUACUGUGCAUGGUUAGUGCUGCACCAGCGUUGCCAUGUGGCCAGCGUGGAGCCAACGUGGGUACGUGGGUUAGUCUGUGUGGUGGUUGGCGCAUGGUCAGUGUGGAGCCAAUGCAGGUUCGUGGGUUAGUCUGUGUGGAUGUUGGCGUGUGGUCAGUGUGGAGCUGACGUGGAUACGUGGGUUAGUCUAUGUGGAUGUUGCCACGUGGCCAGCGUGGAGCUGACGUGGGUACGUGGGUUAGUCUGUGUGGUGGUUGGCGUGUGGUCAGUGUGGAGCCGACGUGGGUACGUGGGUUAGUCUAUGUGGAUGUUGCCACGUGGCCAGCGUGGAGCUGACGUGGGUACGUGGGUUAGUCUGUGUGGAUGUUGGCUCAUGGUCAGAGUGGAGCUGACGUUGGUGCACGCUUUGCAGUGGUCACAGACAAAGAGGUGUGACCAGACAUUUGAAUAGUUCUCAGAAUGCACCGAGGGUGGGAAGCGGUCUUCCGCCAGGUCCAGGACGACUGAUGGGAAUGGCACAGAGGCUACGCUGGCUCUGUCCACAGGUGGGCGGAAGGCAGUGCUGGGUGAGAUUGUGGACAACAGACGCGGGUUAGAAAUACUGACCCUGGGUCUGAAUUUUUACCCUGAACUGCAGGCUGAGCCACGGGGGUCACAUCGGAAGCUGGACCUGAACGCGGGGUGCAGCCCCCCGGUGCUCUGUUGAGAAGCCCCCGGGGUCAUCUCUGGGCCUUGGGGCGGGAGGAGCGUGCUUAUGCUGUCGGUUGCACCCCUGCCCCCUGCCUUGCAGUUUUCCUUGGGAAGGGAAUCAUCUCCAACGCCCACCCUGCUGAAGGUGCUGUGGAAGCACUGGAGCGAUGUGUGUGGCGGGGGCCUGGGUAGGAGGUGGGGGUGUGACCAGGUCCGGGCAGAGUGCCUGGCCAGCACCUGUCCAGACACCAGUGUCCGACCCGAGACCCGUCUCUGCAAGUUGGUCUACGUGGCCGCAUGUGGCACAGACAAAGUGCCACGAGAAAGCACCUGACCGUAAACGUGUAAUGCUUCCUGACCACGACAGCAGGAUCCCUGCUGCAAGUAGCAGCCCCAUCUCGGGGUCCCAGGAGGACACAGAAGCUGUUUUCCUGCAUCUGUGAAACCCCAUCCCAGGAAACCGGCUGCCCAGGCUCCCUUCUGAUAAGGUUUGUGAGGGGUCGUGGGGUGACCCAGUGGGGCACUGCUUCCCGGUGGGCAGGCAGGAUCCAAAGCACCUUGACAAUUAGCUUAAAGGGCACGAGCAGGGCCUGUGCAAUUCCAUCAGGACUGUGGCCAACAUGUCAUGUCAGGAGACUUGCCGACCCAUCUUCUCGUUUCUAGGGAUUCGGGACGUGGCCGUACAAAUGGUCUGUCAGCCUCUGGCAUUUAUCGGAGCGAACGCUGAGUGGUCCGCGAGUGGCUGGCUUUGCUAAGGGCUGGGGGGGGGCACGGGCACCAUUCUGGAGUGCUGGCGGCCAUCCCCAUCCCCACAGGGUUUGAGUCACGCCCGGUGCCUUUCUCAGACCCACUGAUGGGUUCAGUUAUAAUGUGUGCGCCUCACCGUAUGUGAAUUUCCCCUAAAAGAAGCCAUAAGUGACACUGAACUCUAGUUAAUGUCCCGCGUGCUGGAGCGUCCGGGGAGGGUGCAUGUGGCUGUCUGUCUUUCCUUUGAAAUGUGCCGAAGACUAAGAUGGGUCGACGGGCAGAGAGAGGGAUG